rnacentral:rRNA from 1 species
AACGAACGCUGGCGGCAUGCCUAACACAUGCAAGUCGAACGAGACCUUCGGGACUAUUGGCGCACGAGUGUGUAACGCGUGGGAACCUUCCUUUAGGUUCGGAAUAACUCAGAGAAAUUUGAGCUAAUACCGGAUGAUGUCUUCGGACCCACGAUUUAUCGCCUCUCGAUGGGCCCGCGUUGGAUUCGCUAGUUGGUUGGGUAAUAGCCUACCAAGGCGACGAUCCCUAGCUGGGCUGGGAGGAUGAUCAGCCACACUGGGACUGGGACACGGCCCAGACGCUUCCGGAAGGGCGCAGGGGGGAAGAUUGAACAAUGGGCGAGUGCCUGAUCUAGCAGUGCCGCGUGAGUGAUGAAGGCGUUAGGGUUGUAAGGCUCUGUUACCAGACAUGUUAAUGAGAGUCUCGGGAGAAUAAGCACCGGCAACCUCCGU